rnacentral:rRNA from 1 species
UACGUAGGGGGCAAGCGUUGUUUGGAAUUACUGGGCGUAAAGGGCGCGCAGGCGGCUGCUCAAGUCAGGCGUGAAAGGCCUGGGCUCAACCUGGGAAUGGCAUUGGAAACUGGCGACCUAGAGUGCGGUAGAGGGUAGUGGAAUUCCUGGUGUAGCGGUGGAAUGCGCAGAUAUCAGGAGGAACACCGGUGGCGAAGGCGGGUCUCUGGGCAGUAACUGACGCUGAGGAGCGAAAGCGUGGAGAGCGAACAGG